CACGUAGGGUGCGAGCGUUGUCCGGAAUUAUUGGGCGUAAAGAGCUCGUAGGCGGUGUGUCGCGUCGGCCGUGAAAACCUGCAGCUUAACUGUGGGCUUGCGGUCGAUACGGGCAUCACUGGAGUUCGGCAGGGGAGACUGGAAUUCCUGGUGUAGCGGUGAAAUGCGCAGAUAUCAGGAGGAACACCGGUGGCGAAGGCGGGUCUCUGGGAAGUAACUGACGCUGAGAAGCGAAAGCAUGGGUAGCAAACAGG
rnacentral:rRNA from 1 species